GCGGCGUGCUUCAUACAUGCAAGUCGAACGAGAAGCAGGAGCUUGCUCCUGUGGAAAGUGGCGGACGGGUGAGUAACACGUAGGAAAUCUGCCUUUGGGUGGGGGACAACAGUUGGAAACGACUGCUAAUACCCCAUAUGAGCUUGGUUGCAAUACCAAUCUUGAAAACUCCGGUGCCUAAAGAUGAGCCUGCGUCUGAUUAGCUUGUUGGCGGGGUAAUGGCCCACCAAGGCGACGAUCAGUAGCUGGUUUGAGAGGAUGAUCAGCCAAAAUGGGACUGAGACACGGCCCAUACUCCUACGGGAGGCAGCAGUAGGGAAUUUCGCGCAAUGGGGGAACCCUGACGCAGCAACGCCGCGUGAAUGACGAAGCCCUUCGGGGUGUAAAGUUCUGUCAGUAGGGAAGAAUUUUGACUGUACCUACAAAGGAAGCACCGGCUAACUCCGUGCCAGCCGCCGCCGUAA
rnacentral:rRNA from 1 species